rnacentral:rRNA from 1 species
GAUGAACGCUAGCGGGAGGCCUAACACAUGCAAGCCGAGCGGUAGAGAUUCUUCGGAAUCUUGAGAGCGGCGUACGGGUGCGGAACACGUGUGCAACCUGCCUUUAUCAGGGGGAUAGCCUUUCAAAAGGAAGAUUAAUACCCCAUAAUAUAUUAAGUGGCAUCACUUGAUAUUGAAAACUCCGGUGGAUAAAGAUGGGCACGCGCAAGAUUAGAUAGUUAGUAGGGUAACGGCCUACCAAGUCAGUGAUCUUUAGGGGGCCUGAGAGGGUGAUCCCCCACACUGGUACUGAGACACGGACCAGACUCCUACGGGAGGCAGCAGUGAGGAAUAUUGGACAAUGGGUGAGAGCCUGAUCCAGCCAUCCCGCGUGAAGGAUGACGGCCCUAUGGGUUGUAAACUUCUUUUGUAUAGGGAUAAACCUUUCCACGUGUGGAAAGCUGAAGGUACUAUACGAAUAAGCACCGGCUAACUCCGUGCCAGCCGCCGCAGUAAAAC